GAUGAAGAAAGUAGCGAAAUGCGAUAAGUGAUGUGAAUUGCAGAAUUCAGUGAAUCAUCGAAUCUUUGAACGCACCUUGCACCCUUUGGCAUUCCGAAGGGUAUGCUCGUUUGAGUGUCAUUGUACUCUCACUCUCCCGAUGCUUUUGGAUCGGGAGUGGUGGACUUGGGUGUUGCUGCUUUGCUGUGGCUCGCCUCAAAUGGAGUAGUGCAACUCUUGGUUGGACAUAGUACGGCGUGAUAAGUGUCUUCGCCGGCGCCUCAUUAUAGAGGGUGGCCGAUCGGGAGCUCUGUGCUUCAAACCGUCUUCGGACAACAUCUGACAACUUGACCUCAAAUCGAGUAGGACUACCCGCUGAACUUAAGCAUAUCAAUAAGCGGAGGA
rnacentral:misc_RNA from 1 species